CACGUAGUUAGCCGUGGCUUAUUCCUUAGGUACCGUCACUUUCUUCGUCCCUGAGAAAAGAAGUUUACAACCCGAAAGCCUUCUUCCUUCACGCGGCGUUGCUGGGUCAGGCUUGCGCCCAUUGCCCAAUAUUCCCCACUGCUGCCUCCCGUAGGAGUCUGGGCCGUGUCUCAGUCCCAAUGUGGCCGGCCAACCUCUCAGUCCGGCUACUGAUCGUCGCCUUGGUGGGCCGUUACCCCGCCAACCAGCUAAUCAGACGCGAGUCCAUCUCAGAGCGAUAAAUCUUUGAUGUCCAGUGCCAUGCGACACAGACAUAUUAUGCGGUAUUAGCAGCUGUUUCCAACUGUUAUUCCCCAUCCAAGGCAGGUUACUCACGCGUUACUCACCCGUCCGCCACUAAGUAGUCCUUUCAGUUGUCCGAAAACUCCUUCAAGGGUACUCCGUUCGACUUGCAUGUGUUAAGCACGCCGCCAGCGUUCAUCCUGAGCCAGGAUCAAACUCU
rnacentral:rRNA from 1 species